rnacentral:rRNA from 1 species
CGGUACCUACGGGGGGCAGCAGUGAGGAAUAUUGGUCAAUGGUCGGGAGACUGAACCAGCCAAGCCGCGUGAGGGAUGAAGGUACAGAGUAUCGUAAACCUCUUUUGUCAGGGAACAAAGGCGGGGACGCGUCCCCGGAUGAGUGUACCUGAAGAAAAGGCAUCGGCUAACUCCGUGCCAGCAGCCGCGGUAAUACGGAGGAUGCGAGCGUUAUCCGGAUUUAUUGGGUUU